CCGGUUAUCGAGUUUACCUAGUCACUGCUCAAUUUGCCAUGAGUGAUGUGGCUAAUAUCGUUUACGAACAUUCCCAGGUGAAGAGAUCUAAACUUGAUAAGGAUACAAGUUCUUCCACAAACAAUAUAUAUUCAACUAUCAAUGUAAGUUAGUACUUGAAGCGACCAGUUGAGAUAGAUAGCUAACUAGCCAACUUUGCUAGCAAGCUAACAGUAGCUAAGACAUUACCAAAUUGGUUAGCGCUAACGUUACUUAUUAGAGGGCUUGCUUUUGUGUCACAAAUCACCUAGCAACCGCAUCAGACGCCAUGUUGGAAGACCAAAGUCAGUCUGUUGGAAGCCCUUCAACUGUUCACAUGGCUGGCUGGGUUGUGCUACCACUGGAAACAUUGACCAUUAUAGUAAUUCAUUUUUCUAAGGACCCAGAAAACGGAGGCAGUGGGAGAACCUAUUCUACUCAGGUACAGAGAGACUUAAAAAACCCUGUCUGCAGAUGAAGAGGUCCCAAUGACUGUCCGAGAGAAUGAGGGUACAUCCUUCUAUACCAUGGAUUAUAAGUGUACCUAUCACCCAAGGAGCCCGUCAUUGUAAACCACUUCUGUUCAUGUGCAGCUGGGAGAGCUUUGUGCAAUCUGGUGCCUCUACUCUUUCAAACUGCACAUUACACCACAAUGGGGUUGAAGACCGUGCCACCACCAUUGCCUUGCACAUGGGUACUGCAGUCAUGGUACAGGCCAAGUUUUGAAAUUGAGAUAAUUUUUCAUAUUGUCAUAGAGAAGACACAUUUAGCAUUUUUGUAAACUCAUAUUACUGCACAUUGUUUUACAUUCAUCCUGAAUCUUUAUUUUUUUUUACCGGAGCCCACUGAUGAAAUGCUUGUGAGAAAGCCAAGGACAUCAGGCAGGAGUGGCAUAAAAAACACUCUUUACCAAGGAAUCCCUGGGACCCUUCCUGACAUGACAGUGCUGUCUGCUGGACCAAGUUUGAGGAGCAUGAGACCACAGCCUGUCAUUGCCAAGGUGUUGCAUGGAUUGGAAGAAAUGACUCUCAAUUUGGUCCAGUGCUGUCAUAUUAGUGUCCCCUUACUGUCACCAGAGAUUCUAAUGCAUUCAGAUGCUCCUGCUUUCCCCCAACUCCCAGUAAAAUAAACAGUCAUUUAAACUUUGUCCCUACUUGCACUCAGUUUUACCACAUGGAGAGCUUAAAGGAGCCACCAUCAUUGUCAUCUACUAUUGAGAAUGGCACAGUCGAGCAGUCUGCCCAUCCACUAUGGAAGAAAUUAGGAAACCACGUGUGACUGCUACCCAGUUUAGUGAGGCAUGCCACUUGCGUGGGGUGUCAUCUCGCCAUGCCCUAGCCAUGAGAAUGCUUAAAAGUGAGCGGCAAACCGAAGCUAUGAGAAAGGGGUUUGAGCCAGAGGUUCUAUAGAACUACUCUGAAUUGUUUAAUGUCUCGGUCAAACCUUGUGAUUUCAUUGUGAACCCAGAUGCACCCUAUCUUGGGGCAUACCCUGACGGGAAAGUUUAUGACCCUUCUGCAGCGCCACCCUUCAGGCUAGCCGAGAUCAAGUGCCCUGAUGUUGAGUGUAACUGAUGCGAAGCACAUUAAGUUUGUCAAUGGCCCGGCCAAGCUCAAUCACAGCCACAAAUAUCACUGGCAAGUCCAGGGCCAACUGGCUGUAACCGGUUUAGAUUGAUGCGACUUUGUUACAAGCACUAGAAGUGAUAUUACAGUAGAGAGAGUUGAGAGAUGAUGCUUUGAUAGCAGAGAUGAGAGAAACUUGACUACUUCUACACCUACAUGGAUGUGUACUUUAAGAUGUAGUGUAGCAGGUGAGCCAAUCCCACUUGGCAGGCCACUGUAACAUUGUUGCCCAAGGCAAUGUACAUGUAAUGUAUUUAACUAAUCAAAAUUGUAUGUAGAGUAAAUUAUUUGAAUGAAUGAAUUGUGUGAUCUUGUUUGUCUAUCACAUGUGGCUCAGUUGGUUGAACAUGACGUUUGCAAUGCUAGGGUUGUGGGUUUGAUUCCCACAGGGGGACCAGUACGUCGUGAAAGAAUGAAAAUGUAUGCACUCACUACUGGAAGUCACUGGAUAAGAGCAUCUGCUAAAUGACUAAAAUGUAAAUGUAAGCAAUUAUUCAACUAAUUGAAUUGUUUGUUAUUUUAUGACCGGCUUAAUAUAACAGGUCACUGAAUGAAUAAUCAAAUGUAUUUAUUGAAUAAAAUCUUUAAAUUAAAAAA